rnacentral:rRNA from 1 species
UACGUAGGGGUCGAGCGUUGUCCGGACUUACUGGGCGUAAAGCGUGGGUAGGUGGUCGGUGAUGUGCCGUGUGAAAGCGCCGCGCUUCUCGCGGCGAGGUCGCGGUAGACACACCGACUCGAGGCACGGAGAGGGGCGUAGAAUUCCCGGUGUAGUGGUGAAAUGCGUAGAUAUCGGGAGGAAUACCAGUGGCGCAAGCGGCGCCCUGGCCGUGACCUGACACUGAGCCACGACGGCGUGGGGAGCAAACGGG